GGAGCCGAAGGGAAACCGAGUCUUAACUGGGCGUUAAGUUGCAGGGUAUAGACCCGAAACCCGGUGAUCUAGCCAUGGGCAGGUUGAAGGUUGGGUAACACUAACUGGAGGACCGAACCGACUAAUGUUGAAAAAUUAGCGGAUGAGUUGUGGUUAGGGGUGAAA
rnacentral:rRNA from 1 species